rnacentral:rRNA from 1 species
UACGGAAGGCAGCAGUGGGGAAUAUUGCACAAUGGGCGAAAGCCUGAUGCAGCUAUGCCGCGUGUAUGAAGAAGGCCUUAGGGUUGUAAAGUACUUUCAUCGGGGAGGAAAAAACAAAACUAAUAAUUUUAUUUCUUGACGUUACCCGAAAAAGAAGCACCGGCUAACUCCGUGCCAGCAGCCGCGGUAAUACGGAGGGUGCUAGCGUUAAUCAGAAUUACUGGGCGUAAAGAGCACGUAGGUGGUUUUUUUAAGUCAGAUGUGAAAUCCCUGGGCUUAACCUAGGAACUGCAUUUUGAAACUGAAAUACUAGAGUAUCGUAGAGGGAGGUAGAAUUCUAGGUGUAGCGGUGAAAUGCGUAGAUAUCUGGAGGAAUACCUAUGGCGAAAGCGGCCUCCUAAACGAAUACUGACACUGAGGUGCGAAAGCGUGGGGAGCAAACAGGGAUUAGAUACC